rnacentral:rRNA from 1 species
AACGAACGCUGGCGGCAGGCCUAAAACAUGCAAGUCGAACGAUCUAGCAAUAGAUAGUGGCGCACGGGUGAGUAACACGUGGGAAUAUCCCUUUCACUACGGAACAACGUCGGGAAACUGACGCUAAUACCGUAUAAUGUCUCCGGACCAAAGAUUUAUCGGUGAAAGAUUAGCCCGCGUCUGAUUAGCUAGUUGGUGAGGUAACGGCUCACCAAGGCAACGAUCAGUAGCUGGUCUGAGAGGAUGAUCCGGCACACUGGAACUGAGACACGGUCCAGACUCCUACGGGAGGCAGCAGUUAGGAAUAUUGGACAAUGGGGGCAGCCCUGAUCCAGCCAUGCCGCGUGUGUGACGAAGGCCUUAGGGUUGUAAAGCACUUUCGUCUACGAAGAUAAUGACAGUAGUAGAAGAAGAAGCUCCGGCUAAAUUCGUGCCAGCCGCCGCCGUAA